GUUAUCAAUUGACAAGUAAAAAUUUAAGUUGAUAGCACAAGUGACCAGUGAUUAGAAAUAUUUAUUUAUGGUCCUGUAAUUUGGUUAUAGGAAGGUCUUUGGUAUCCUUUGAUUAUUUACAAUUUCAUUUCUCUUUCAGAAUAUAAUUCAUGAUAGAUACAGAAUUUAUAUGGUGUGACCACUGACCAGACUGGUUUUAAUAUGCCAUUCUGAGAAUUACACUAUGCAGACCUGGAUCAAUGUUUAUAUAGUUCCAAAAUGAGUUUACUCAGAAUGACACUUCAGUUCAUGCACAUUUUAGAAUGUACGUCAUCAAUGUUCUCCCAAAGGAAAGUGAGCAAAAACUUAUCCAGAGAAUCAACAGCACAUUUUUGUGAAACUUUUUAAA